AUGUACGGCGUCGGCGUCGGCGGCGGCGGAGGCGGGUUCAACGCGCCGUCCACGGCCUCCGGGCGGCGCAAAAACCAGGAGGACGACGAGGAAGAGGAGGAGGAGGAGACCGGCGACGGCCGCGUCCUCGAGGCGUGGGAGCGCGCCUACGCCGACGACCGCUCGUGGGAGGCCCUGCAGGAGGACGAGUCGGGCCUGCUCCGCCCCAUCGACACCAAGAACCUCGUCCACUCGCAGUACCGCCGCCGCCUCCUGCUCCGCUCCGCGGCCGCCGCGGCCCGCAUCCAGAAGGGCCUCAUCCGCUACCUCUACAUCGUCAUCGACCUCUCCAGGGCAGCUUCAGAAAUGGAUUAUCGCCCUAGUCGAAUGGCUGUUGUUGCUAAGUGUGCUGAGGCAUUCAUAAGGGAAUUCUUCGAUCAGAAUCCCUUGAGCCAUGUUGGGCUAGUGACAAUUAAAGAUGGCAUUUCUCAUCGACUUACGGAGAUUGGAGGGAGUCCAGAGUCACAGAUUAACGCAUUGAUGGGCAAGCUUGAAUGUUCUGGUGAUUCAUCUCUGCAGAAUGCUCUGGAACUUGUCAAUGGUUACUUGAACCAGAUUCCUUCCUAUGGUCACAAGGAAGUAUUAUUUUUGUACUCCGCACUGAAUACAUGUGAUCCUGGUGAUGUCAUGGAGACAAUAGAAAAAUGCAAGAAAUCCAAAGUUAGAUGUUCGGUUAUUGGGCUUGCUGCAGAAAUUUUCAUUUGCAAGCAUCUCUGUGAAGAGACUGGUGGAUCAUAUACGGUUGCACUAGACGAGUCCCACUUCAAGGAAUUGCUGCUUGAACAUGCUCCUCCACCACCUGCCAUUGCAGAGUAUGCUGCAGCCAAUUUGAUUAAGAUGGGUUUUCCACAGAGGGGAGCAGAGGAUCUUAUCUCCAUCUGCUCUUGCCACAAGAAAAUUAAGUCUGGUGCUGAAGGUUACAUAUGUCCCAGAUGCAAAGUUAAUGUGUGUGAGCUUCCAACGGAGUGCCGAACAUGUGGUCUAACACUUGUUAGUUCCCCACAUCUGGCACGAUCCUAUCACCAUCUCUUCCCUGUAACGCCGUUUGAUGAGGUGACGUUCAAAUUAGGUCAAAAGGGAGGACAAAAUUGUUUUGGCUGCCAGCAGAGUCUCAUUAACACCGGUGGCCAAUCUAAUAUCCAUGUCCGCUGUCCAAAAUGCAACCACCACUUCUGCUUCGACUGUGAUAUUUACAUCCAUGAGAGCUUGCAUAACUGCCCCGGUUGCGAGAGUCAGCGCAGUUCAUCUAGGUAG
rnacentral:rRNA from 1 species